AUUAGUGGCGCAGCUAACGCGAUAAGUAGACCGCCUGGGGAGUACGGUCGCAAGACUAAAACUCAAAUGAAUUGACGGGGGCCCGCACAAGCGGUGGAGCAUGUGGUUUAAUUCGAUGCAACGCGAAGAACCUUACCUGGUCUUGACAUAGUAAGAACUUUCCGGGGAUGGAUUGGUGCCUUCGGGAACUUACAUACAGGUGCUGCAUGGAANUCGUCAGCUCGUGUCGUGAGAUGUUGGGUUAAGUCCCGCAACGAGCGCAACCCUUUUCCUUAUUUGCCAGCACUUUGGGUGGGAACUUUAAGGAUACUGCCAGUGACAAACUGGAGGAAGGCGGGGACGACGUCAAGUCAUCAUGGCCCUUACGACCAGGGCUACACACGUGCUACAAUGGUCGGUACAAAGGGUUGCUACCUAGCGAUAGGAUGCUAAUCUCAAAAAGCCGAUCGUAGUCCGGAUUGGAGUCUGCAACUCGACUCCAUGAAGUCGGAAUCGCUAGUAAUCGCGGAUCAGAAUGCCGCGGUGAAUACGUUCCCGGGCCUUGUACACACCGCCCGUCACACCAUGGGAGUUUGUUGCACCCAGAAGUGGAUAGUCUAACUGGA
rnacentral:rRNA from 1 species